CAGGUUAUAACUUUAUAGAAAGUAUUUUUAUUUACACUAAAAAUUUAAUUGUGCAAAUCAAUUUAACUUGA
rnacentral:tRNA from 1 species